rnacentral:rRNA from 1 species
AAUGAACGCUGGCGGUAUGCCUAACACAUGCAAGUCGAACGGAAGCACAGUAAGCGCUUGCUCUUACGGGUGGCGAGUGGCGGACGGGUGAGGAAUACAUCGGAAUCUACUUUUUCGUGGGGGAUAACGUGGGGACACUUCCGCUAAUACCGCAUAUGACCUACGGGUGAAAUCAGGGGUUCUUCGGACCUUGCGUGAUUCAAUGAGCCGAUGUCGGAUUAGCUUGUUGGCGGGGUAAAGGCACACCUAGGCGACGCACCGUAGCUGGACUGAGAGGAUGAUCAGCCACACUGGAACUUGGACACGGUCCAGAACCCCACGGGAGGGAAGAGGUGGGAAUAUUGGACAAUGGGCGGAAGGCCGAUCGAGCCAUAGCGCGUGGGGGAAGAAGGCUUUCCGGUUGUAAAGCCCUUUUUUUGAGAAAGAAAAGAAGCAGGUUAAUACCCCGCUGGUCUGACGGUACCCAAAGAAUAAGCACCGGCUAACUUCGUG